rnacentral:lncRNA from 1 species
GCUCUUCAAUAUUAUUAUUGUUAUUAUUAUUACACACACUGUACUUGGCUCGUGGUGGAGGGUAGGAAGUGAGGAUAAGAAGGAAGUGAAACGAGGAUUGAAAAGGAAGUGAGAUGAUCUACUGCUAUUAUUGUACAUUAGAGUGCUGCGUGUAGACUUUUUAAAGCCAAACCAACGGUGUCCUGCAGUUCCUAAUAAAUCAGCUCCGUGCUGGCGUGAGCACCUCUCUACCAUCUGUGUUUCAUGUCUGUCUGGGUAGCAAAUACAACAGUCAGGAUUUUCUCAUAUGGAUGGAUGGAUACAAGAUUCAUCAGUUUCUUACAACAUUUCCACAAGAUUAGUUGUUUCCAGUUGCCUUGAAAGCACCAUACAUCCAAAGAAUAUCAGACUUUGAUGAUAAAGUUUCAUGACAAAAUUUGCCCACAUGAUGGACCACCACGCCACCUUCCUGUUCAAGUGAGCACAGCACAACGGCCACACAAACGCUUCACACCGCGUGGCCGCUGCCACUCUAACCUGGUGGUCCCAGCGC